rnacentral:rRNA from 1 species
UCACGGAGAGUUUGAUCCUGGCUCAGGACGAACGCUGGCGGCGUGCUUAACACAUGCAAGUCGAACGAUGAACCACUUCGGUGGGGAUUAGUGGCGAACGGGUGAGUAACACGUGGGCAAUCUGCCCUGCACUCUGGGACAAGCCCUGGAAACGGGGUCUAAUACCGGAUACUGACCCGCCUGGGCAUCCAGGCGGUUCGAAAGCUCCGGCGGUGCAGGAUGAGCCCGCGGCCUAUUAGCUUGUUGGUGAGGUAACGGCUCACCAAGGCGACGACGGGUAGCCGGCCUGAGAGGGCGACCGGCCACACUGGGACUGAGACACGGCCCAGACUCCUACGGGAGGCAGCAGUGGGGAAUAUUGCACAAUGGGCGAAAGCCUGAUGCAGCGACGCCGCGUGAGGGAUGACGGCCUUCGGGUUGUAAACCUCUUUCAGCAGGGAAGAAGCGAAAGUGACGGUACCUGCAGAAGAAGCGCCGGCUAACUACGUGCCAGCAGCCGC